rnacentral:rRNA from 1 species
AUUGAACGCUGGCGGCAGGCAUAACACAUGCACGUCGAACGAGUGGCGGACGGGUGAGUAAUGUCUGGGAAACUGCCUGAUGGCGGGGGAUAACUACUGGAAACGGUAGCUAAUACCGCAUACCAUCAGAUGUGCCCAGAUGGGAUUAGCUAGUUGGUGGGGGAACGGCUCACCAAGGAGACGAUCCCUAGCUGGUCUGAGAGGAUGACCAGCCACACUGGAACUGAGACACGGUCCAGACUCCUACGGGAGGCAGCAGUGGGGAAUAGUGGACAAUGGGCGCAAGCCUGAUGCAGCCAUGCCGCGUGUAUGAAGAAGGCCUUCGGGUUGUAAAGUACUUUCAGGGGGGAGGGGUUACCCGCAGAAGAAGCACCGGCUAACAGCGUGCUAGCAGCCGCGGUAAUAC